ACGUGAGCCGGGAAGGCUACAACGUUUUUAUAGAGACGGGAGUGAGCACAGUCCUCUAUUCGGCGGUCAUUCAAGCAACGGGUAAAUGACGGUGCCGCAGGCCCAGGAAGCCCAACAGCCUGGCAUUUCAGCGAGACGAAGCCCCGAAUGGUCACGUGCUUUCGUCUCAAAUUGUGAGCACGCUUUCUUGUAUUCGAAACAAACUGGAUACGCUCACGACAGAAGUGAAACGUUUGGAAGCAGACAGCAGCUUGUUGCGCUCGGGACUAUCACGACUACGCAGUUGUGUGGCAGGUGCUUCGACCGUAUCGAACCUGACACGCCCACCUCUCACUUCUACUGCUGCAGCAAACGCGGCAGCGCCAUCAGCUAGGGUGAGUGCGGCAGCAGGAAGAUUCCAGCUAAGUGCAAAGCUAAGUCCAAUGCAAAGUGCACCGGUGCUUCUGACGACGCGGACUUUGAUGCGGGUGGCACGGUCGGGACGUCGUUGGAAAUUUCUCGAAAUGGGUUCACACCGGAAAUUCUGCAGCCACAAACCGAUUUCUGAAGGAUCUCUUGAAGAACGCAAGGUCACUCCAACCGAUUCACUGCCGUUUCUUCUGGAUACGUCGAUCGUCAAGCGCCCACCCCUUUUGUUUUUUCUCGUUGGAGACCUUGUGGCCACAGCACGACCGUGGCAGCCACUAGGACACAAGGAUCCAACAUUGCCGACCCGGGGAGAUUCGUGAUGCAGGCACUACGAGGUGGCACUACGAGGUGGCACUACGAGAAGGGUGCCAGUUCACCUCAUCGCCCCUCACACCGGCUUCGCUUCCCC